UACGUAGGUGGCGAGCGUUGUCCGGAUUUACUGGGCGUAAAGCGCGCGCAGGCGGCAGUCUAAGUCCUCUGUGAAAUCACCCGGCUCAACUGGGUGGCUGCGGAGGAGACUGGGCAGCUUGAGGGGCCUAGAGGCCGGUGGAACUCCCGGUGUAGUGGUGAAAUGCGCAGAUAUCAGGAAGAACACCCGUGGCGAAGGCGGCUCUCUGGGACGGUACUGACGCUGAGACGCGAAAGCGUGGGGAGCGAACAGG
rnacentral:rRNA from 1 species